UUUCGCCGAGACGUCCUCCCCAACCGGCCGGCACAGCUGCUUCACCACUCCCGUGAGCCCUGCGGAAGCGUUACAGGACCGUGUGACGGAGCCUUUUCCACGUAAAGGGGCCGUGUGGGUGGCCUUCAGGAACGGGCCGAGGGGUUGCCGUGCGCCCUGCGAUGACGGCGUCUGGCUCCCGGCGUGGCCGAAGCGCGCGGCCUCAGGACGUGGCCGUUCACAGGAGACCCUGACAGAGAGACGACAGCCUGGCCAUGGGAGGAAGUUCCCAGAUGGCGAGCUGGCCUUCGUUGCCGCCCCAUGUGGAUCCUCCCCGCCGGGCAUCUGAGAGCUGAGUCGACGGCUACGACCCACAGAGGGGACGAAAGCGGAGUGCCAGGUCCGGACUUGUGACCUGGGAUUUUUGAGUCAGCUUUGGGGACGGGGAGGUCCAGGCUGUGGCCCUUUAGGCCUCAUGAAGGGAGAGCCUCGUUUUUGCUCACAGUGCUGAGGUGUGCAGGACAGAGCAGUCCCGGGGUGUGUCAUGUCACUUGUCCAUCGUGCCGUCUGUGUCUUUUGUGCCUCUCGUGUUGUACGUGCCUUGCCUUAUGCCUUCCAGGGGCUUACCAGAAACCCCGGCAUCAUUCCUCGCAUCUCCCAUUUCUGGCUUCCUCGGCCUGGCACCAUCGAAGCUUUGCAUCGGGUGCUCUCAGGGGCCUUGGCAUUGCAUCUCUCUUUUAAAAGCAUCCGAUCGGAUGUCUUUUAGAGGUCUUGUUCCGAGCUGUGUCAACAGCCGUGCGCCGCGAGGAUCCAUUGUUGCGGCUUAGGUCUUGAAGAAACGCAAAGAUUGGUAGGGGACUGUGGCCCUCAGAUUCUCGGGCAUCCGUCUUGGCAGUUGCUGGAGUUUGUCAUUCCGUCAGCAUCUUCUUGCUCCCGGGUUCUGCGAGCUUCAUCAGCUCGCCUUCAUUCUCACCCGGCUCAUCUCGUUCCGCGUUCUCUCGGUCCUUGCGGCCAUUCUUGUGGCCCAGAGUUUUGUCUCCCCGUUGUGUCCCCUCGUCUGUUGUCUGGUGUGUCACGGGUGUCUGGGUGUAGUUGUCCCGGAGCUGCUCUGUCCUGCUGCCCAGCCUGGGUGUAGGUGUAAAAGGGCAAGUCCCAGGCCCCUGUAAUUUGAAAUUUGUAAUGUAGGGUGUAGUUGGAGUCUAGAGGGUGUUCCUCGGUGGACACAAGAUAUCUGGAGCUGUGAAGUUACCCUGCAGCACUUUGACUUUUGUCUUAGCUUUCUAAGCAUUACAUUAUUCACUGCCCGAUGUGGGGUUCAAAAGAGUAAGAAAAACCUAUACUAAUUACAUUGUAUUGGUACUUCCUGUGUGUUGGGCAAAAGGACUGUGGGAUAAAGGACUUUGUAAUGGUGUUCCUUAAGUUCAU